AUUGAACGCUGGCGGCAUGCCUUACACAUGCAAGUCGAACGGUAACAGGUCUUCGGACGCUGACGAGUGGCGAACGGGUGAGUAAUACAUCGGAACGUGCCCAGUCGUGGGGGAUAACUACUCGAAAGAGUAGCUAAUACCGCAUACGAUCUGAGGAUGAAAGCGGGGGACCUUCGGGCCUCGCGCGAUUGGAGCGGCCGAUGGCAGAUUAGGUAGUUGGUGGGAUAAAAGCUUACCAAGCCGACGAUCUGUAGCUGGUCUGAGAGGACGACCAGCCACACUGGGACUGAGACACGGCCCAGACUCCUACGGGAGGCAGCAGUGGGGAAUUUUGGGCAAUGGGCGAAAGCCUGAUCCAGCAAUGCCGCGUGCAGGAUGAAGGCCUUCGGGUUGUAAACUGCUUUUGUACGGAACGAAAAAGCUUCUCCUAAUACGAGAGGCC
rnacentral:rRNA from 1 species